rnacentral:tRNA from 1 species
GGGGGUGUAGCUCAUCUGGGAGAGCGCUGCGUUCGCAUCGCAGAGGUAAGGGGUUCGAAUCCCCUCAUCUCCACCA